rnacentral:rRNA from 1 species
UGGGGAAUAUUGCACAAUGGGCGCAAGCCUGAUGCAGCCAUGCCGCGUGUGUGAAGAAGGCCUUCGGGUUGUAAAGCACUUUCAGCGGGGAGGAAGGCGUUAAGGUUAAUAACCUUGGCGAUUGACGUUACCCGCAGAAGAAGCACCGGCUAACUCCGUGCCAGCAGCCGCGGUAAUACGGAGGGUGCAAGCGUUAAUCGGAAUUACUGGGCGUAAAGCGCACGCAGGCGGUCUGUCAAGUCGGAUGUGAAAUCCCCGGGCUCAACCUGGGAACUGCAUUCGAAACUGGCAGGCUAGAGUCUUGUAGAGGGGGGUAGAAUUCCAGGUGUAGCGGUGAAAUGCGUAGAGAUCUGGAGGAAUACCGGUGGCGAAGGCGGCCCCCUGGACAAAGACUGACGCUCAGGUGCGAAGGCGUGGGGAGCAAACAGG